rnacentral:tRNA from 1 species
GCGGGGGUGCCGGAGAGGCCAAACGGGCAGGACUUAAGAUCCUGUGGCUUAGUGCCUGCGAAGGUUCGAUUCCUUCCCCCCGCA